AGUUUAAGUAAUAUUUGUGUUACCUUCCUCUGUUCAGGUGCCAAGACUUGUGAUUUGGCAAUUUAUUCCAAGGCCGCUAACAGCUGCCACGUUAUUCAUGUGAAAUAUGAUGAGCAUUUUGCAAAGGCGAUGUUUGAAAAGUUAACGAAGAUGUACUUUGACCACAUGUUCCCAAUUUUGAUUAACAAGCGUUUCAACUGGUAGACAGAUGUGGACUUAUGGACAGAUUUGACUUAUCCUUUGUUUGAGUAGACAGAUGUGGACUUAUUGACAGAUUUGACUUAACUUUUGUUUGAGUAAACCAAUAUUUCUUUUUCCCUACUGAUAAAUCACCAUUUGUAAGAUAUGAAGCAGACCUCCAAAUUUUCCUGCCUGUUGCUUGUUCUUCUGUAAUUUUACAAUAUUCUAUUAUUUGGUAAUAUCAAAACUGUGUAAUAUUAGCAAUUUUUUUUUGUGAAAGGUCAGUUUUAUUGUAAUUAUAUGAAUUUUUAUUACAAGUUACACUGAUCAAUGCAUGUUUUUGCUAUUACUUUUUCCUCUGUGGGUAACUAAUUUUAUGUUUCAUAGUAAUAUAACUUUUGUAUUUAAUAGUUUUCUUGAUUUAAUGAUUAUUUGUAAAAUCUAUUUUAUUGCUAUUUUUUUAAAAUUAAAAUAUUGAC